CACACACACACACACACACACACACACACACACACACACACACACACACACACAGUGUAUCUGCUCGCAUUUCUUCCAUUUUGUAGGCCUAGAUGUAUGUAAAAGUUCAUAUAAUUGAUCAUCGCUAUUUGGAAUGAUUAUUUCUUCGCCUAUUCCAGAACACCCCCACUUUUGGAAAGCUUGAUACGCCCCUGAUUGUGGUUUCGGAUCAGUUUAAUACUACAGUGUGCACAGUGAUCUGGGAGCAGCUUUAUGAGGCUGUGCUUCUGCAUGGACAUGUACAGCAUCAUAAAUCCCCUGCAUGUUAAUGGGUUGAUGUGCAAUGAGAUAGAUGAACAGCAAUGCUGAACAGUGCAUGAUACAGCCAGCACAGUUAAAUGACACAAAGAAAUAAAUAACACUAUUUAUUUAACUUCUAUUUCUACUCAGGGAAGAUUCAAAGUGAGCAAUCAAACCCUGGUUGGAUGUGUCAUUUAGCCCUUUGAGUGUGGUGUAUGUGAUAAUGCGUAGCAUAGCUCAGGGCAGACAUUGUAGGCAUCAGCUCUAGCCAAAGGCCAGGUUCAAUGAAGUGGACCGAAAUAUGUUCCCACCUGAAUGGUGCUUUGGCUGUGCAGUUCACAUGCACAGUUUGUCCACAUGCACCUAUUCAUCCCCCAGCGAUUGUAGCCCAGCUUCUUUUAGGUUUUAGAUUUUAGAUAUGUUAAGUUUAAGUCUACCUUCCUUUUUUUACGUGAACUUGCCUCACUGUUUAAAUAAUGUCUGCCUCUGACUCAUCAAUUGUUUACUUAUAUUCCUCAGGGCCCGAAAGGACCAAGAGGUGAAAGGGGACCCCAGGGCCCUGACGGGAGGGACGGCAGACCUGGCAACCCCGGCCCUGCUGGGCCCCCAGGACCCCCUGGCCUCGGCAGAAACUUUGCUGCUCAGUAUGAUCACAACAAAGGCGCUGAUAUUGGUCCCGGCCCCAUGGGAAUGAUGGGAAUGAAAGGCCAACCUGGACUUCCCGGCCCCCCUG